rnacentral:rRNA from 1 species
GUAGGUGGCAAGCGUUGUCCGGAAUUAUUGGGCGUAAAGCGCGCGCAGGCGGUUCUUUAAGUCUGAUGUGAAAGCCCACGGCUCAGCCGUGGAGGGUCAUUGGAAACUGGAGAACUUGAGUACAGAAGAGGAAAGCGGAAUUCCACGUGUAGCGGUGAAAUGCGUAGAGAUGUGGAGGAACACCAGUGGCGAAGGCGGCUUUCUGGUCUGUAACUGACGCUGAGGCGCGAAAGCGUGGGGGGAGCAAACAGGAUUAGAUACCCUGGUAGUCCACGCCGUAAACGAUGAGUGCUAAGUGUUAGGGGGUUUCCGCCCCCCCCUUAGUGCUGCAGCUAACGCAUUAAGCACUCCGCCUGGGAGUACGGCCGCAAGGCUG